rnacentral:ribozyme from 1 species
AACAACACGGAAGUGAAGGAAAAAAAGAGGAAAAACAAAAAAACAAAAUACCCUGGGCUCGGCUCGGCGCUCCGCGCCUUACUUUGUUUUUGUUUUUUUGUUAUUUUCUCGGGGAUUUCUUUCUUCUGCUCCGCGUCAUCUU